CCUACGGGAGGCUGCAGUGAGGAAUAUUGGUCAAUGGGCGCGAGCCUGAACCAGCCAAGUCGCGUGAAGGAUGACUGCCCUACGGGUUGUAAACCUCUUUUAUAAAGGAAUAAAGUGAGGCACGUGUGCCUUUUUGUAUGUACUUUAUGAAUAAGGAUCGGCUAACUCCGUGCCAGCAGCCGCGGUAAUACGGAGGAUCCGAGCGUUAAUCGGAUUUUUUGGGGUUAAAGGGAGCGUAGAUGGGGUGUUAAGUCAGUUGUUAAAGUUUGCGGGUCAACCGUAAAAUUGCAAUUGAUACUGGCAGCCUUGAGUACAGGUGAGGUAGGCGGAAUGCGUGGUGUAGCGGUGAAAUGCUUAGAUAUCACGAAGAACUCCGAUUGCGAAGGCAGCUUACUAAACUGCCACUGACAUUGAUGCACGAAAGUGUGGGUAUCAAACAGGAUUAGAUACCCCAGUAGUC
rnacentral:rRNA from 1 species